ACUCGAGGCCGGUGAGCUGCGUGAAAUGGCCGGCUAUCUAUUACGGCUCGCCGAGCUUCGAGAAC
ensembl:miRNA mir-8211 ncRNA